UUUGAUAGCCUUAUUUACUCUCGGAAUCAUUUAGGCUCUUGUGUACACGGGUGUUUUUAGAGUUGUAUUUCCUGUUUUUGUCAUGUUAGAGCAAACCGGCAGCUUUGUUUGGAGACGAGCUUGGUCUGUUUGAACAUGUUUACAUGGGGGUGAUCCCACAGUGGUAGGGGUGGAGGACACACACAGAGGCAGGCGCAGAGAGGGAGAGGCAGGCGCAGAGAGGGAGAGGCAGGCGCAGAGAGGGAGAGGCAGGCGCGCAGAGAGG
ensembl:lncRNA